UGAUGGGCUUGCUACUAUUGUUGUUCUGAGUAAAACAUACUGCAAGAAAAGGGCAACUUUGAGUUUCAGAGGACAUUUCUAUCAGGUUUAUUGCUCGCAGAACUAAUGCAUUUACAAGACCUACAGUUAUAUGGUAAGUAAAGAUACAAAGUUGACAGUUAUUUUCCCAUUACCGAUGGUUUCUGAAGCUGUUGGAGGGAAAUCCGUAAGCAACCCAUCAACAGAAAACUCAGAGUUAUCGAUGAACUGCAGGUAUUCCGAUGUUGGGUCGUAGCUAUAGUUGAAACUUGCUGGAUUGUCAUUUGCAAAACCAGAAGCGUAUACUUCAAGGCCCUGUUUAUGAGCAUCCGCCAC
rnacentral:lncRNA from 1 species